AAUAGAUACCCCGGUAGUCCACGCCGUAAACGAUGGAUACUAGCUGUUUGAGCGCAAGUUUGAGUGGCUAAGCGAAAGUGAUAAGUAUCCCACCUGGGGAGUACGGGCGCAAGCCUGAAACUCAAAGGAAUUGACGGGGGCCCGCACAAGCGGUGGAGCAUGUGGUUUAAUUCGAUGAUACGCGAGGAACCUUACCAGGGCUUAAAUGUAGAUUGACGUAUUUGGAAACAGAUAUUUCUUCGGACAAUUUACAAGGUGCUGCAUGGUUGUCGUCAGCUCGUGCCGUGAGGUGUCAGGUUAAGUCCUAUAACGAGCGCAACCCCUGUUGUUAGUUGCCAGCGAGUAAUGUCGGGAACUCUAGCAAGACUGCCAGUGUAAACUGUGAGGAAGUGGGGAUGACGUCAAAUCAUCACGGCCCUUACGUCCUGGGCCACACACGUGCUACAAUGGCCGGUACAGAGAGCAGCCACUUAGCGAUAAGGAGCGAAUCUAUAAAGCCGGUCACAGUUCGGAUCGGAGU
rnacentral:rRNA from 1 species